UGCAGGUUGAAUCCUGACUGAAGUAACUCUUACCUCCAAGCAGGUUGUUGUGAUGCUUUCCCCUCCUGGUCUUCAAUGUUGAAUCGGCUGAAGAUGGAACAUCCAGCAGACUAAAUGGAGAUGGGAACGUCCAGCAGCCUAAAUAGCCAAAAUCAUAUAUAGGGCUUGGGUCAGCUUGGAAAUCUGCCAUGAACUUGUUGGAGUUUCUAGUAGAUGGCACCAACCGUCUUGGCGAAUGAUCUAGUCCGUCUGCUGAAUCUGCGCCGAAACUCAUGGAGACGCACACCUUGAGAUUCUUCAGAUAUGAAGAGCCUGUGGGAUCGAGUCCACCGGUGGUGCAGAAGAUGUCAAACUGAUGCGGCCCAACAUCACACUGGACCGCAGUUUGAAGUAGAAAGCUAAGAACUCUGGGAGGUGCAUUUAACUGAUUGAAGAUUUGUACUGACGACGUGCCACAUCAUCUGAAUCUGGGGUUGAUUUAAAAAGUUGUGAAAUUAUUUAUUUUGUUUGAGUCAUAACGUGUGCUUUGUCUUGAGUGUAAUAAAGUUGUUUUUA